rnacentral:rRNA from 1 species
UAAGGAAUAUUGGUCAAUGGGGGCAACCCUGAACCAGCCAUGCCGCGUGCAGGAAGACGGCCCUACGGGUUGUAAACUGCUUUUAUACGGGAAUAAACCUCUCUUCGUGAAGAGAGCUGAAUGUACUGUAAGAAUAAGGAUCGGCUAACUCCGUGCCAGCAGCCGCGGUAAUACGGAGGAUCCAAGCGUUAUCCGGAUUUAUUGGGUUUAAAGGGUGCGUAGGCGGCCUAUUAAGUCAGGGGUGAAAGACGGUGGCUCAACCAUCGCAGUGCCUUUGAUACUGAUAGGCUUGAUUACACUUGAGGUAGGCGGAAUGUGACAAGUAGCGGUGAAAUGCAUAGAUAUGUCACAGAACACCAAUUGCGAAGGCAGCUUACUAAGGUGUUAAUGACGCUGAGGCACGAAAGCGUGGGGAUCAAACA